ensembl:miRNA
AACGUGUUCCCUGGGGUUAUGAUUUGCGGUAACAGGUGUGAACAUCCUAGCAGCAGUUUGAUGAUCAUGUAUGAUACUGCAAACAGGA